rnacentral:rRNA from 1 species
AAUCAACGCUGGCGGCGUGCCUCAGACAUGCAAGUCGAACGCGAAAGCCUCCUUCGGGGGGCAAGUAGAGUGGCGCACGGGUGAGUAACACGUAGGUAAUCUACCUUUGGAUUGGGAAUAACCACCGGAAACGGUGGCUAAUACCGAAUAAUGCAGCGGCACCUAAUGGUGACAGUUGUUAAAGCGGGGGAUCGCAAGACCUCGCGUCUAAAGAGGAGCCUGCGGCGGAUUAGCUAGUUGGUAAGGUAACGGCUUACCAAGGCGAUGAUCCGUAGCCGGCCUGAGAGGGCGGUCGGCCACACUGACACUGACAUACGGGUCAGACUCCUACGGGAGGCAGCAGUCGGGAAUUUUGGGCAAUGGGCGAAAGCCUGACCCAGCAACGCCGCGUGAAGGAUGAAAUCCCUCGGGAUGUAAACUUCGCAAGAACGGGAAGAAUAAGUAAGAGUUAACAUCUCUUACGAUGACGGUACUGUUUGUAAGCUCCGGCUAACUCCGUGC